rnacentral:lncRNA from 1 species
CCGGAGACCUGGCUGAUUCCUGGUGGCUUUCCCGAGCUGGGUCACAGAGGACCACAGAGGCUGCUUAAGCCUCGCGUGCUCUGGGGACUCCAACACUGUGGCCACCAACGGGAGAGGAGACUUCUGAAAAGGCAGCUUGCCCACCUGUGACCAGAGGCCGGCUAUCGCAAACAGAAUGGCAAGGAACACCUGGAAUAACUCACAGAGGAUAUUCAAGGAGAGGAAAAAUCACACAUUAACCCGCACGCAGGAAACAAGAGGGGAACAAACGAGUGGGAUACUUUUGCAGUGAUGGCCAGAUGCAUUGUAUGUAAGUAAUGCCUCAGAUGAU